rnacentral:lncRNA from 1 species
GAUCUGCUGAGCGGCAGGUGCAGGCAGUGGAAGCAGUAGCUGCUGUCCAGUCGGUAGCCGACUUGCGGAUCCAGCAAGAGCCAGCGGCUGCGCUUCGGCUGCUGCAGAGUUGGGGUCUUGCUCUGUCGCUCAGGCUGGAGUGCAGUGGCAUGAUCAUGGGUCACUGCAGCCUUGAACUCCUGGGCUUAAGGGAUCUUCUCAUCUCAGUCUCCUAAAUAGCUGGGACUACAGGCUCAGGCCACCAUGCCUGGCUAUUUAUUAAACUAAUCCACGUUCUGAACAGUUAUUGCUACUGGAAACCAGUCCCGAUCCAGACCACAAAAGACGAUUCUUGGAUCUUGCACAAGAAAGAAAGGGAAGAUCUGGCAAGAGUUAGCGUGCAGUUCUACAUUGUGACAAUUCAUGAGAGCUAAGGACUGGCUGUCUCUUGGGACAAAUAGGCUUUCUUGAGUCUGGUAAGUGCUCCACUUGAUGCUUGCUUCCAUUUCUUAGAUUAGGUUCUACUGUGGUAAGGCCUCAAAAUCUCAGUGUCUUGCAGCAACACUGGUUCAUUUCCUGCUCACAUUACAUUUGGUCUAUGACGGUGACAAGUUCCAGGAUCCAGACUGAAGGAGCCACCCCCAUUUGGAAUAUGCUGUUCUUGUUGCAAACUGGGGGAAAAAGGCCAGAUAAGGAAUGGCUUUUAAUGCUUCCUCUCAGACUGUGUUAUGGUUUUUUUCUCACAUUCUAUUAGCCAAAGUAAAUCAGUGGCCAAGCUGACCUCAAUGGGACAAGUAAAUAUAAUUCUUCCAAAUGGAAGUCCUGCAAGUCAUAGGUCAAUGGUGAGGAUAUAUAAAACACUUACAGGAAGGGCCCUAAUAAUUGGGAGCAAAAACACAAUCCAUCGCAUUCAUUUAUACUCUUUCUAAGCUUUUGGCAUUUGGGUUUGGAAAUCUAAUUUAUUUAGGAGUCUUCUUCAACACCUUCUAGUGAUGAGAUUUCUUUAACCCAGUUUUCAGUUUCCUUUCUUUAAAAUUAUAAUGAGAUGUGAUGUGCGUUGAAGAAACCCCAGAAGUGAGAAACUCUCAUCACUACAAUGGUGAUGUAGACAGUGGAAAACUGUUCCCAGUUGCCUCUAAGUCCAUCGUGCUAUACUGCUGGAAUCAGGUAUCAUACAUAAUCUUUCUGCUGAGAAUUGAUAGGUCCAGCUUGUUCUACAUCCAAAUAAUAAUUCAACCAAUGAUUUGUGAGCACCUACCGGGCACUGUGCCAAGUGUGGAAGACACAACCUUCAGUAACUCAAGUUUCCCUUCAGGAACUGACAGCUUAAUUUGGAAACAAAUAAAUUAAGAAGGCAAUUGCAUUAUGGAGUGUCAAGUGGAUGAUAGUAGUAAGCAAAGGGUGUUAUAAGGGUACAUAAGAGGGGUACCUAACUCAGGGUUGAGGUUCUGGAAAGGUUUUCCAGAGCAAGCAAUGAGACCUAAAGGAUGAGUAGACAAGUCACGGGAGAAGUAAGAACAUUUUAAGCAGAGAAAACAGCAUGAGCAAUGGUCUGAUAUCAAGAAAGGCAGAGAUAGUGCAAGAAUACACAAUGUAGUAGUUUUCAAAACUGUUUGAAAUUUUAAUCUCACAUUUGUUCUUUUCAAUGUCUAGGAUAUCAAUUCAUUCUGCGAUUUACCUUUGUAAAGAUGAAUUUAGCCCUGGUUCUCUAUAUGAAUACUAGAGGAAGUAUAUUGAUAAAAGAAAAGGAACAAAUAUGUAGUCAUUUCUAAGAUUUAUUUUUAU